rnacentral:rRNA from 1 species
AUCAACGCUGGUGGCGUGCCUAAUAUAUGCAAGUCGAACGAGAAAGUGGAGCAAUUUAUGAGUAAAGUGGCGAUUGGGUGAGUAACAUGUGAUUAAUUUGCCUUUGAGUGGGGGAUAAUUUUGGGAAAUUGGGGUUAAUAUUGCAUAAUGCCUUCGGGUUAAAGGAGUAAUUCGCUUGAAGAGGGGGUCGCGGCUGAUUAGUUAGUUGGUGGGGUAACGGUUCACUAAGGUGAUGAUUGGUAGCCGGCCUGAGAGGGUGUAUGGCCAUAUUGGAACUGAAACAACGGUUCAGACUUUUACGGGAGGUAGCAGUGGGGAAUUUUGCGCAAUGGGGGAAAUUCUGACGCAGCAACGUCGCGUGGAGGAUGAAGUUCUUUGGGACGUAAAUUUUUUUCGAUUGGGAUGAUUAUGACGGUAUUGGUGGAAGAAGUUUUGGUUAACUUCGUGUCAGCAGCCGCGGUAAUACGAGGGGGGCAAGCGCUGUUCGGAAUUAUUGGGCGUAAAGGGUGCGUAGGCGGUGUGGUAAGUUACCUGUGAAACCUCUGGGUUUAACUCAGAGUCUGCAGGCGAAACUGCCGUGUUGGAGUGUGGGAGAGGUGUGUGGAAUUCCUGGUGUAGCGGUGAAAUGCGUAGAUAUCGGGAGGAACAUUUGUGGCGAAAGCGGCGUAUUGGAUCAUAACUGACGCUGAGGUGCGAAAGCUAGGGGAGCAAACAGGAUUAGAUAUUUUGGUAGUCCUAGUUUUAAACGAUGGAUGCUUGGUGUGUUGGGUAUCCAAUUUUAACGUGCCGAAGCUAACGCGAUAAGCAUCUCGUCUGGGGAGUAUGGUCGUAAGGCUGAAACUCAAAGGAAUUGGCGGGGGUUUGCACAAGCGGUGGAGUAUGUGGUUCAAUUCGACGCAAUGCGAAGAACCUUACCUGGGUUCGAAGCGUAGUGGAUCGGGGUAGAAAUAUCUCUUUCUCGCAAGAGACUGCUGCGGAGGUGUUGCAUGGCUGUCGUCAGCUCGUGUCGUGAGAUGUUGGGUUAAGUCCCGCAACGAGUGCAAUUCUUAUUUUUAGUUGCCAGCGAGUCAAGUUGGGCACUCUAGUGAAAUCGUUUUGGAUAACGGGGAGGAAGGUGGGGAUGACGUCAAGUCCUCAUGGCCUUUAUGUUUAGGGUUACAUACGUGUUAUAAUGGUUGGUACAAACCGUCGUAAAUCCGCGAGGGGGAGCUAAUCGGAAAAAGCCGACCUCAGUUCGGAUUGGAGUUGCAACUCGACUCCAUGAAGUUGGAAUCGCUAGUAAUCGCAGAUCAGCACGCUGCGGUGAAUACGUUUUUGGGUCUUGUAUAUAUCGCCCGUCACAUCACGAAAGUGAGCUGUAUUAGAAGUCGGUGAGCUAACUGCAAGGAGGCAGCCGUUUAAGGUACGGCUCAUGAUUGGGGUG